AGGGCGGCGGGCGGAAGGCAGGAGGCUGCCGGGGCGCGGGCUGCUGCGGGGGAAGGGACCCUGAGGCGUCUGCCGCGGUUCGCUCUGUCAGCCGCGCGGGAUUGGGGCGCAAGGGUCAUGGACGUUCUCCCCUGAGACGGAGGUCGCGGGCUGGGGGCGGGGGGAGGAGGCCCGGGAGAGGUUGACGCGGAGGCCGCGGGCCGGUGACUGGGCGCGAGGCGGCCGGCGGCGGCGGCACCACCACAGACACCACCAUGUCGCGCUCCGUGCUGCAGCCCAGUCAGCAGAAGCUGGCGGAGAAGCUCACCAUCCUCAACGACCGGGGCGUCGGCAUGCUGACUCGCCUCUACAACAUCAAACGGGCAUGUGGAGAUCCCAAGGCAAAACCAUCCUACCUUAUUGACAAAAACCUGCAAUCUGCUGUGAAAUUCAUAGUCAGAAAGUUCCCUGCUGUAGAAACUCGCAACAACAAUCAACAGCUUGCACAGCUACAGAAAGAAAAAUCAGAGAUUCUGAAAAAUCUGGCAUUAUACUACUUCACAUUUGUAGAUGUUAUGGAAUUUAAGGACCAUGUUUGUGAAUUGCUGAAUACUAUUGAUGUUUGCCAAGUCUUCUUCGAUAUUACUGUAAACUUUGAUUUAACAAAGAACUACUUAGAUUUGAUCAUAACCUAUACAACACUAAUGAUACUGCUGUCUCGAAUUGAAGAAAGGAAGGCAAUCAUUGGAUUAUACAACUAUGCUCAUGAAAUGACCCAUGGACUGUUCUUCUUACUCACACUAGGCAAUGAGGAAGCCAUGGACAUGAGGAUGUUGAGCUUUGGGUUCUCCUCCAAACAACUUGAGAGCUAUGCUGGGGCUUUUGCUGUGGCAUCUAAAUUUUAG